rnacentral:rRNA from 1 species
AUUGAACGCUGGCGGCAGGCCUAACACAUGCAAGUCGAGCGGAUGACGGGAGCUUGCUCCUUGAUUCAGCGGCGGACGGGUGAGUAAUGCCUAGGAGUCUGCCUGGUAGUGGGGGACAACGUUUCGAAAGGAACGCUAAUACCGCAUACGUCCUACGGGAGAAAGCAGGGGACCUUCGGGCCUUGCGCUAUCAGAUGAGCCUAGGUCGGAUUAGCUAGUUGGUGGGGUAAUGGCUCACCAAGGCGACGAUCCGUAACUGGUCUGAGAGGAUGAUCAGUCACACUGGGACUGAGACACGGUCCAGACUCCUGCGAGAGGCAGCAGUGGGGAAUAUUGGACAAGGGGCGAAAGCCUGAUUCAGCCAUGCCGCGUGUGUGAAGAAGGUCUUCGGAUUGUAAAGCACUUUAAGUUGGGAGGAAGGGCAGUAAGCUAAUACCUUGCUGUUUUGACGUUACCGACAGAAUAAGCACCGGCUAACUCUGUGCCAGCCGCCGCCGUAAUAC